ACGCUCGACACCUACGGGGGCAGCAGUGGGGAAUAUUGCACAAUGGGGGAAACCCUGAUGCAGCGACGCCGCGUGGAGGAAGAAGGUCUUCGGAUUGUAAACUCCUGUUGUUGGGGAAAAAGAGGAUGGUACCCAACAAGGAAGUGACGGCUAACUACGUGCUAGCAGCCGCGGUAAUCUGAGCGGGCUGGCAAGGC
rnacentral:rRNA from 1 species